AUUGAACGCUGGCGGCAGGCCUAACACAUGCAAGUCGAGCGGAUGAAGGGAGCUUGCUCCUGGAUUCAGCGGCGGACGGGUGAGUAAUGCCUAGGAAUCUGCCUGGUAGUGGGGGAUAACGUCCGGAAACGGGCGCUAAUACCGCAUACGUCCUGAGGGAGAAAGUGGGGGAUCUUCGGACCUCACGCUAUCAGAUGAGCCUAGGUCGGAUUAGCUAGUUGGUGGGGUAAAGGCCUACCAAGGCGACGAUCCGUAACUGGUCUGAGAGGAUGAUCAGUCAAACUGGAAGUGGGACACGGUCCAGACUCCUACGGUAAGAAGCAGUGGGGUAUAUUGGACAGUGGGAGAGAGCCUGAUCCAGCCAUGCCGCGUGUGUGGAGAAGGUCUUGGGACUGGGAAGCAGUUGAAGUUGGGAGGAAGGGCAGUAAGUUAAUACCUUGCUGUUUUGACGGUACCAGCAGAAUAAGCACCGGCUAACUUCGUG
rnacentral:rRNA from 1 species